rnacentral:rRNA from 1 species
AGUGAACGCUGGCGGUAGGCCUAACACAUGCAAGUCGAACGGCAGCACAGUAAGAGCUUGCUCUUACGGGUGGCGAGUGGCGGACGGGUGAGGAAUACAUCAGAAUCUACUUUUUCGUGGGGGAUAGCGUAGGGAAACUUACGCUAAUACCGCAUACUACCUACGGGUGAAAGCAGGGGAUCUUCGGACCUUGCGCGAUUGAAUGAGCCGAUGUCGGAUUAGCUAGUUGGCGGGGUAAAGGCCCACCAAGGCGACGAUCCGUAGCUGGUCUGAGAGGAUGAUCAGCCACACUGGAACUGAGACACUGUCCAGACUCCUACGGGAGGCAGCAGUGGGGAAUAUUGGACAAUGGGCGCAAGCCUGAUCCAGCCAUACCGCGUGGGUGAAGAAGGCCUUCGGGUUGUAAAGCCCUUUUGUUGGGAAAGAAAAGCAGCAGGUUAAUACCCCGCUGUUCUGACGGUACCCAAAGAAUAAGCACCGGCUAACUUCGUG